UUAGUGCAGCUUGUAAUCUGUAAUACAGUCUUGCACCACAUUUACCACCUCAAUGUUACUCUAGGAUUCAGAACUGAGAAGUGUGAGAUGGAGCAGGUGAAGGUCAUCAGCUCCUCCUCGAGCCCACACACAGUCCUCAGGCAGGCAUUGCAAGGACAUGAGCUUCACUCCUCCUGGUCAGUUAUUAUUUCAUUUUCUGCAGCUUUGCUAACUCUCCUAGCACUGGCAGAUUCUUGGACAUGUUAAAUGCCAUCGUGCUCUGCACACACCAGCAAGUUCCCCAGGGUUCAGCUGCAUCAGUGAAUGGCACAACUUGUAAUUCAUCCUGUCGAUAAGUGGGUGUGUUAAUCAAGGGGAAAAUCUGUGCAAUUGACUGGUCUUGAUUCCAAUUAAUUUCCCAUUAACAGAUUUCCUAAAUCAUUAACAGAAUGCCUAGACGCAGAUGAUGCCAAUAACUCUUUGGCACAUAUGGCCUUCCUGCCCUCCUGGGAGGGGAGUGGGCUGGCACAGCCUGGAAGGAAGGCUUGGAGGAGCUUGUGCCUUUCUGAGAACAGGGAUUUUUUUUUUAUUUUUUUUUUACCUGAAUGUUUUUAUAGGGGGGACUGUCAGCUAGAAGACUUUUGUCUUAGUAUGUUCUGGACAAUGCUGCUGAUGUGGAUAUGUUGGUUUACCAGCUCUUCCUCCUCCCAGUCCUGAAGUUCUUCAAAGCAGAAAGCAUCACGAAGCCAAAACCAUACAGAUGUGGAAGAUUAUUUAAAGAUCCUCCUGAUGUCUUCUACUACAAAACUGCUCAAAGGACAGUCUCAAACAUGGAAAGUGUUUCAGUGAGCAGCAUCACCCUGUGCCUGGCUGUCUGUGGUUUUAUCGUCACACAUCGUGACCUUCACCGGUGA
rnacentral:lncRNA from 1 species